GCUCAAAUUUGAAAUCUGGCACCUUCGGUGUCCGAGUUGUAAUUUGAAGAAGGUAACUUUGGAGUUGGCUCUUGUCUAUGUUCCUUGGAACAGGACGUCACAGAGGGUGAGAAUCCCGUGCGAUGAGAUGUCCAACUCUAUGUAAAGUGCUUUCGAAGAGUCGAGUUGUUUGGGAAUGCAGCUCUAAGUGGGUGGUAAAUUCCAUCUAAAGCUAAAUAUUGGCGAGAGACCGAUAGCGAACAAGUACAGUGAUGGAAAGAUGAAAAGAACUUUGAAAAGAGAGUGAAAAAGUACGUGAAAUUGUUGAAAGGGAAGGGUUUGAGAUCAGACUUGGUAUUUUGUAUGUCUUGCUUUCGGGUGGGGCCUCUGCAGUUUACUGGGCCAGCAUCGGUUUGGACGGUAGGAUAAUGACAUUGGAAUGUGGCACUACUUCGGUGGUGUGUUAUAGACUUUGUUGAUACUGCCUGUCUAGACCGAGGACUGCGUCUUUGACUAGGAUGCUGGCAUAAUGAUCCUAAACCGCC
rnacentral:rRNA from 1 species